rnacentral:lncRNA from 1 species
CUGAACUAGUAAUUUUGUUUUGUGGACUUUACAUGUGAGAUUUCUCAGACCAGUCGCACAGCAAAGAUGCAUUCGGCACCAAGGGGCAGCUGGGCCCUGCUGGGGCUGCAGCUGAACAGGGGACAUGGCCCAGCCAGCAAAUUUUCCAGUUCCUAUGAAAUGAAAACUAUGAAGCAUUCACUUCCAUGUGAAUUCCAGGUAGGCUAUUUAACUAAAAUUAGCUUGCAAUAAAAUUCUUGGACACCAACGUUUAAAUUUCCAGUGAACCCAGCAGUGCAUCAUCACCUUUCACUACAGAAUCCCCUGGGAAUAAACUCAAAGAGCCAAACCAGAAAAUGCCCCAGCUCUGGUGCUGUGGGCAGCCUGCCCUCAGGAUUAGCAGCACCUGGGCUCGUGCCGAGGCACCGUUAAGCACAGAAUAAAUUAAUUUACCCAUCUGGGUUUAAGAGCUUAUGCAGUCCUCUGACAUGUUCCGUACCGUGGUGCUGCCAGCCCGGCUGGUUUCCCUCAGCCCGUUUCUGACAGUGAGCCACGAAACUUCAGCCACCUCGACUUUAAAUAUUUAUACUUGGAUCUGAAAGUCUGUCCCCACAGCCUGGCACAGUCCCCGCCGCGCUGCCCCAUGCACGGCUGCGUCCCCAGCCCUCACACCCACCCCGGGGCCCAGACAGGGCACUGGCGAGUUAAACAGCCUUCUUCCCCAGCCCGAUACAAUAAAUCAGGCAUUUUAUGGCUGCAGAAGUCAUGAGAGGACGGGCACACCGAGCCUGCAGAUGGAGACCAGACGGGAGGAAGGGAAGGCUUGGUGCCUGCGGUAAUCACGCGGAUCAAUGGCACUCAGGUUUCUGCAGCCCGUCCUGGGCCCUGCUCCCGACUGCUGCUGAUUUAUGGGCAGGAGCCAGCAGACACAACCCGACCCUCACGGCUCCCCGAGCCAGCUCCUGCUCGGCCAUUUACCAUCUCAGCUUCCCCACAGCCUCCUCCCACCUACGUGGGGGGCCCCUGGGACACGCUGGGCACUUCAGCCCCUGGCUACAUCCCUGCGAGUCACAAAAGAGCAGGGGAUGCUCCAGGUCCAGGUACCCUUUGGCUGACCUUUGGCUUUGCUUCAUGCCUGUUCUCCUUCUCAAACCCAGGCCUCAGGCACGGGGCAAGGUUUUCCUGGGAGGGGACAAACCACCUCAGCUUCUUCCUCAGAGCCACUCCUGUGGACGGGGCUGGUGUCCCCAGGCAGCAGCUCCCACGGGUGGCAGCGUGCAUUGCCAGCCCGGCCCCUUCCAGAGAUCAGAUGGACGUGCAGAACCAGCACACAGCCAUUAGCAUUCAAACAAACAUAGGAGGUUUGUUUCACACACUGUAACUAACAGUCGGAAAUAAAAUUGUGUAAUAAAAGGAAUGAACA